AGUCCUUGCCCACUGCACAGCUACCCUGCACAGCUACUAUAUACUACUCUUCCAAGGCUACUCUACCGUCUACUACUUAUACUAAACGGCACUUACUAGCGCUUGUACUCUACUGGUUUCAAAGAAUAUGGGUCUAAAAAGUAGCCGGAUAUCAGAACGGUGAUUCUACUGGGCCGUAGCGACAGACUAUGACUGUCACAGUGCAAUGGUGAACUGUUAUUACGAAGUCUAGGAGUUACAAUGCAUGUUUGUAGUCAUUUCUUUUUCUGACUUUUAUUUUUGUUCUGAAUUGUAAAAAAUAAUGAUAUUUUAUGUACAUGUAAAGCUUAUAUUAACCCCGUACUUACUACCCCUUUCAAA
rnacentral:lncRNA from 1 species